GACGAACGCUGGCGGCGUGCUUAACACAUGCAAGUCGAACGGAAAGGCCCUGCUUUUGUGGGGUGCUCGAGUGGCGAACGGGUGAGUAACACGUGAGUAACCUGCCCUUGACUUUGGGAUAACCUCAGGAAACUGGGGCUAAUACCGGAUAGGAGCUCCUGCUGCAUGGUGGGGGUUGGAAAGUUUCGGCGGUUGGGGAUGGACUCGCGGCUUAUCAGCUUGUUGGUGGGGUAGUGGCUUACCAAGGCUUUGACGGGUAGCCGGCCUGCGAGGGUGACCGGCCACAUUGGGACUGAGAUACGGCCCAGACUCCUACGGGAGGCAGCAGUGGAGAAUAUUGCACAAUGGGCGGAAGCCUGAUGCAGCAACGCCGCGUGCGGGAUGACGGCCUUCGGGUUGUAAACCGCUUUCGCCUGUGACGAAGCGUGAGUGACGGUAAUGGGUAAAGAAGCACCGGCUAACUACGUG
rnacentral:rRNA from 1 species